CAGCAGCCGCGGUAAUACGGAGGGUGCAAGCGUUAUCCGGAUUCACUGGGUUUAAAGGGUGCGUAGGUGGGCAGGUAAGUCAGUGGUGAAAUCUCUGGGCUUAACCCAGAAACUGCCGUUGAUACUAUCUGUCUUGAAUGUAGUGGAGGUGAGCGGAAUAUGUCAUGUAGCGGUGAAAUGCUUAGAUAUGACAUAGAACAUCUAUUGCGAAGGCAGCUCGCUACACUAUUAUUGACACUGAGAGACGAAAGCUAGGGGAGCAAAUGGGAUUAGAGACCCGCGUAGUCCCUGUCUCUUAUAC
rnacentral:rRNA from 1 species